AUGCGUGGUCUCGUUGGAGGUUGGUUGGUUGGCCGUGUCGCAUGCGCCGACCGUGACCGCAACUUGAGUUCCGACGGACGGACGGGUGGAGGAGAAGUGCACGGCAGCAUGCGUCGUGAAGCUCGCGUGCGCGGUGACGUCGCCGCUCGCUCCGGCGUAUCGACGCCGACGGCGACGUACGCGUCCGGCGCCGCGAGCCGCCCUACGUGUCGCGCGAGCGCGUGCGGGCGGAACCUUCCGAGGUAUUCCCGGCCCGGCUGGCCCUCCGCUGAAAUUUCUUUCCUAUUUCGCGCACGUGAGCCCACCGCCGCUCGGAUCGGCGCGGGCCGGGCCCGCCACGUGUUAGGCGCCCCCGACCGAGCUGGCCACCACCCGGCGACCCCGUCGUCGUCUCGGACUCCAACGCGAAGCAGCAGCAGGGCGAGGAAAAAGGGCGACCGGCGGAAAAUAUCUCCGGCUCGUUCGUCUCCACCAGGGGCCGGCGAGAUGUCGUCGGCGAUGUCCCGCGCGAUCCGGGGGGCCGUCGCGGCUGGGGUGUCGAGGAGGGGCCUGGCGUCCGUGGAGGCGAUGGGGGCGGCGAAGGGGGCGCCGCCCGCGGCGGGGCGCUGGGCCGGGCGCGGGCGCGGCGGCCCGGGGCCCGUGGAGGACGGGGCGCGGGUGCAGUGGGUGUUCCUGGGAUGCCCCGGGGUCGGCAAGGGCACCUACGCCGGCCGCCUCUCGCGGCUGCUCGGCGUGCCCCACAUCGCCACCGGCGACCUCGUGCGCGACGAGCUCGCCUCCCAGGGCCCCCUCUCCAAGCAGCUUUCGGAGAUUGUGAAUCAUGGGAAACUGGUGUCUGAUGAGAUCAUCAUAAAUCUGCUGUCAAAGCGCCUUGAGGAGGGAGGAGAGAAGGGUGAAUUAGGCUUCAUACUUGAUGGUUUUCCAAGAACUAUAAGACAAGCGGAAAUACUGGAGGGAGUCACAGAUAUUGAUUUGGUGAUCAAUCUCAAACUUCAAGAAGAGGCUCUGCUUGCAAAAUGCAUUGGUAGAAGGAAGUGCAGCCAGUGUGGAGGAAACUUCAAUGUGGCCUCCAUUGACAUUGAGGGUGAGAAUGGCGGGCCUCGAAUGUAUAUGCCUCCACUACUACCUCCUCCACAGUGCGAAUCAAAGUUAAUUACCAGAGCAGAUGAUACCGAAGAGGUGGUAAAGGAGCGAUUGCGUGUUUACCAUGAUUUGUGUGAACCAGUGGAGGAUUUCUACAGAGCACGGGGGAAACUCUUGGAGUUCAAUUUACCAGGAGGAAUCCCCGAAUCAUGGCCGAAGCUGCUCCAAGCUUUGAAUAUAGAAGAAGAUCCUGAUAACAAUAGAUCUGCAGCAGCAUAA
rnacentral:rRNA from 1 species